AGCAGCCGCGGUAAUUCCAGCUCCAAUAGCGUAUAUUAAAGUUGUUGCAGUUAAAAAGCUCGUAGUUGAAUUUCGAGAUCGGCUUACUGGUCGUGCUAUUGUACGUACUGGUAUAAUCGGUUUCUCCUUUCUGACGAACUAUAAUGCCAUUAAUUUGGUGUUUUAGGGAAUCAGGACUGUUACUUUGAAAAAUUAGAGUGUUUAAAGCAGGCUCACGCUUGAAUACAUUAGCAUGGAAUAACGGAAUAGGACGUUUGAUUCUAUUUUGUUGGUUUCUAGGAUCGACGUAAUGAUUAAUAGGGAUAGUUGGGGGCAUUAGUAUUCAAUUGUCAGAGGUGAAAUUCUUGGAUUUAUUGAAGACUAACUACUGCGAAAGCAUUUGCCAAGGAUGUUUUCAUUAAUCAAGAACGAAAGUUAGGGGAAUCGAAG
rnacentral:rRNA from 1 species